ACUUGAUCUUGGACUUCUAGCCUCCAGGACUGUGAGGAACUAUUUCAGUUGUUUAUGCCACCUGCCUGUGGCAUUUUGUUAUGGCACCCUACCAAACUAGUACACUGUCUUUAUGUAACUUGCAUUAUAUGGAUAAUGCGAUUUAUAUGUUUUUACUGUAACAUGCAGUGACGCAUGACAUUCACCCACCAGAAGGAACAUUCCGCGCCAGCUGUGUCUCUCACUCUCGUACUUUCUUUCGCUGAGCACCAGCGGAAGUGCCAUGGGUCAACACCUAAAGACGUGCAGAUGCAGGCCAGCCUCUGCUGUGCCAAUGACCAGUGACGAGUGCUAUCGGCGGGCACCACGGGUCACCUAAGGCAGUCCAGAGUUUCUAGGGAGCUGACUGCAGCGUGUCCUAGUUGAUGAGCACCAUCUCUUCCUGUCCCGACCCUGGAUGGCUUAUCCACUGUCCAGGCAGCUCUCUGUGCAUCACGGAUUGGACAUGCCUUGUACUGUGCCUGAAGCACCCAUGUGGCAUUUCCUGACUUCUGUUAAGCCCAGCAAAGUGCCAAGCCUUAGAGAUGGGCAAACUUCGUAACAUUGAGCCUCAGCCUCUGACCUGC